rnacentral:misc_RNA from 1 species
GAUGAAGAACGUAGCGAAACGCGAUAAGUAAUGUGAAUUGCAGAAUUUAGUGAAUCAUCGAAUCUUUGAACGCACAUUGCGCCCUCUGGUAUUCCGGGGGGCAUGCCUGUUCGAGCGUCAUUAUAACCACUCAAGCUCUCGCUUGGUAUUGGGGUUCGCGGUUUCGCGGCCCCUAAAAUCAGUGGCGGUGCCUGUCGGCUCUACGCGUAGUAAUACUUCUCGCGAUUGAGUUCGAUAGGUCUACUUGCCAGUAACCCCCAAUUUUUACAGGUUGACCUCGGAUCAGGUAGGGAUACCCGCUGAACUUAAGCAUAUCAAUAAGCGGAGGA